rnacentral:lncRNA from 1 species
CGAUUACUGUUCCAUUGCCUCAAGCAACAACAGAUCCACAACCAUCUGGAGUUUCAGUGAUACCCAUAGUAAAUGUUAGGAGUACAGAGCCUCCAAUCAAGCCUGUAACUAGUCCGAUGGAGCCUGAGAAAGGAGUCAAGAUCUGCAUGCAACAAGCAACACCAGCUGAUGUUCCAAAAUCUGUUACAGAGGAAGGUCCAAAAUUAGAUCCACCUAAACAGUGGACUAGUCUCUUCCAGAAUAACAGACUUGCUGCAAAUGGUAUGUCCUUAGAAUAUAUUCCCCCUACGCUUGUUAAUGGCAAACCAGUUGGUCAACUGGUGAAGGAAGAAGUG